UGCGUAUGAGCGAUAUUCUUCAUCUGGACUUUCUUUGGGAUAUCAUCGAUCUCUUUAUCAUUCAAUGUGGUAUUUAUUUUACGGAAAUUUAGUAUAUCUUCACAUCUGGGAUUUCAUUAUCUCAGUUUUUUUAUUAUUCUUAUAGUCUAAUCUUAUCUGGCAAACAUGGUUCAUCUGUAAAAGGUAUUCAUUGACUGGAGGUAAUUACAUCUAUUAUAAUUAUAAUUUCUG
rnacentral:lncRNA from 1 species